rnacentral:lncRNA from 1 species
AAAGAGGGACAAAGGGGGACAGGGUUCCGACCCCCUCCCUGAACCCAGGGUAACCCUUAAAGUGGAGAGGAAACCCAGUAGUUUCUCAGUAGACACAGGGGCACAAUACUCAGUCCAAACCCAAUCCCAUGGCAAACUGUCCUCAAAGAAAUCGUGGAAACAGGGGGCCACUGGUAUGAAUCAGUAUGCACAGACUACCCAAAGAACAGUGGAUCUUGGAUCAGGCCAGGUAUCCUGCUCCUUCAACUGCCCCAACCCCCGCUUGCUGACCGAGAUAGGAACUCAGAACUCUUUUGAUCAAAAAGGGAACUCUGUCACAGAUCACAGAGGGUGCCCUGGUCACAAAAUCACCCUGCCUCUAGAUGAUGAAUAUAAAUUGCACCAAAGACCAAGCUCUCUCCCAAAUGAAAUCUCAACUUGGUUAACCAAAUUCCCUUCAGCUUGGGCAGAAACCGGAGGAAUGGGGUUGGCAGACCAUAGGACCCCCAUUUGCGUUGAACUGAUACCAGGAGCAACUCCUGUCCAGGUAAGACAGUACCCAAUCUCCCAAAAAGCCAAA